rnacentral:lncRNA from 10 species
CGGAUGCUGCGGCUACUGGUCCAGGAAGCACAUUUUGAGAACCACUCAGCUAGAAGAUUAUUGCAUUCAUCCAGGUUCCUGCUGAAGUCUGAGGGGAAAAGGGGAUUCUGGAAGGCGGAGAAAUGGAUGGAUCCUGUGGAGAGGCCAGACAGCUUCCGAGCAGCUGAGAAAGAAGGAAGUCAGCCAAGGUCUGAAAGAAGAGAGAUAGAUGCUGGAGAGCAUUUAAAUGAAAAGAAUUUAACCAGAAGUAUCGGCAGAAGUAAAAGAAAAGCCAUGUUGGGGGAACCUAAAGAUUAGCCACAAAGGUUAAGGGAAAGGAGGGAGGAGAGGAGACGUUACUGCAGCCUGUGAAGGCCAGAGCAAGAGGCGUGGCCGUGGAAAGUGCAGGAAGUAUGGCUAUGGAGAGUGCUGGGGUGUGGCUGUGGUGGGUGCAGGAAGCGUGGCUGUGGAGCGGGUGUGGUUAUGGACGGAGUGUGGCUGUGGAGGGGGUGUGACUGUGGAGGGUGCUGAGUGUGGCUGUGGUGGGUGCUGGGGGUGUGGCUGUGGUAGGGGAGGUGUGGCUAUUGGAUAGUCACAGCUGUGGUGGGUGCAGGGGGCAAGGCUGUGGUGUAGGAAGUGUAGUGUGGCUAUUGAAUGGGGUGUAUAGCAGUGGUGAAUACAGGAGGCAUGGCCUUGGUGGGUACAGGAGGCAUGGCUAUAACACAGGAGGCAUGGCCUUGGUGGGUGCAGGAAGCAUAGCUGUGAUGCAAGAAGCAUGGCCUUGGUGAGUGCUGGAGUAUGUUCUCUAAAGACACUGUGAACACUAUUAGCCCAUACUGAACCACUGCUCCUGGAGAAAUACAGGGUUAGCUUCCACGCCUCUGAUCACUACAUUUUUGUCAUCCAACCAAUACAUAUUUUUGUUUUAUGUGUUUUUAUCUACAGACACCUUGUUUAAUAUACGUUUCUUACCAAUAGUUAACUGUAUGUAUUAUUCUUUAUAAUAAAACUCAAGCUGGG